UGUCACUCACUGCUCCUGACUGAAUAACUUUACUAUCUUUAUAAGGAUCAUCAAUCUAUAUUUAAUUAUUACAGUGAGCACUUCAAAUGAUUACAUGACAGCUUUACACCAUUAAACUAUCAGUCAGUCUGUAAAUGCUUCAUCAAUAACUGUUCAUAGUUGAAUCCCCUUGACUUCAGUCAUGUCCAGUUUCUCUUCUUCUUCUUCUUCUUCUUCCACACAUGUUUCCUGCAGUGAUUGUGAUUAUUGUUGAGAUGGCAGUGUUUGCUGCUCCUACUGUUAUUCUUCUUCAGAUCAUCUGUGCAAGAAGACCUGGGAGGAAGGACUCGCAGCACCCAGAGGAAAUAGAGAUGCCUACAAUAUUACAAUAAAAUACUGCUGAGUUUGGAGACCAUCUGAAACAAGAUUUAAAACAGCAGAAACUCA